UAACAUCGUAACAAUGUUCUUGGUGGUUGAUUUGGAAGUGGUUGAAGAAGGCAGUAGCAGAGAGUUUCGCAUGAGAAGUCAGAAAUGAUUCGAAGAGGCUCCUUAGGUGUUCUGUGGAGGUUCCAAGUCGCCGGCGCCCAAGAAGACGACGCAGACCCCGAGACGCUAAAUCCUUGAAAGAACCAAAUAAAGUUUUUUUUCUCUCUCUCUCUCGUCCAUACUGUGGGGAAAGAACAGAAAAAAAGAAAGAAACACACAUUUGCAUAAAGCAAAAGCUGCAUUUAGCGACCCCCACUACUCACUGCCACAAGCCAUUUGUCAUGUAGAUCGUGUAGGGUUGGAGAAGAUCAUCACCUUCAUAUUUUGCAUGCAGAGAGCGUGCUGUGGUGCUACCACAGAGUGCUACUAUUUCAUAAUACGCUUUUUAAAAGCAGUGACUGCGUAUGCCCCGACCUAAAAAGAAACUCGGCGCCAAACAGCCUCGCUCCCGUGUAAUUUCCAAGAAGACUGCGAGCAAACGGAGCAAGUCCAUUGGCAGUGUGAGCUGGGCUAUUCAAUGUCUCCUUGGCUUCCUGUGGAAACCAGUUCUCUUCCUGAUGGCAACAUGCACUGCAGUAGUUGCUGGCCUUGGCAAGUUCUGCAGACAGCAAGCAAAUGAAAUGCCUGCUUCUGUUCAUUCAUCAUGCAGCCUACCAGAUGGCAUACCAGAAAAGGAACGUGGAAUGCUGGGAGCAGUGACUGCUAUACCACUGAAUCUGUACAAGCAUGUCAAAGACUUGUUGGCAGGCUCACAUCCUGACAGCAGUAAUGGCACCAGUCAGCUACUACUGAGUUACUCUGAACAAUCUGAAUCGUCUGGAACAGCAAGUCCAACAUCUGAUGAUAUCUUGCUUCCCCAGCUGUCAACAUCCUUUGACGAAAAGCUUGUUGUUAAUGGUAAAGAGGCACUUCUGAAAAAAACACCGGCUGAGGAUGUCAUAGAAUGUCAAAAUACAAGCUUCCUAUCCAAGCAACCCAGAAGGCCAACCAAAAGCAAGGGAAUGAUUGUGAACAAGGAAAAGAAAGCUACUUCUACUCAAAAGACGCAGCCAUCGUUAGCAAAACCCAAGCUAAAUCAAACACGCCUAAAUGACAACACAAAAGUGAGACGUGGCUCUCAUACAUCCCAUGAAGAGGCUGCAACUAAACAAAAAAACACUAUCAGCGAAGCCCCAUUAGCAAGUCCAGCUGGGAAACCAAAGCAUAAAGUUCCUAAAGAAACCAGUGCCAAGUCAGGCUUGGGGCAGCCACGAGAGUUGGUCAGAGACACAAGCAAACAGGAAAUACAUCGAAAAAAUCAGAAGAAAAGCCGUACAAAAGAGAUGCCAAUAGGGUCGCUGAAACCCCAGUCUGACCCAAGUAUGAAGUAUCCUACAGGCCUUAUGGAAAAGACCGCACUACCUAAUAUGCCAUCGUCACAGGCAGUUCCACUAAACAUCCCUGAAAUGCAGAACACAAGCAACAAGCAACCAUUAGGCACUGCUACAGGGCAAAGCAACACCCCUUCACAUAAACCAUCAUAUAAACCACAACUGGAACCUGAAUCAAGUAAAAAGCAAACUGUAAGCCCUAAAGUGAAGUCAGGCCUACCUGAAAACUCGUCUGCACAAGCAGGUUCACUAAAAGUACCUGCGCCACAAACUACAAUCAACAAGCAGCACUCGCACACUGGUGCUAGCUUCAGUGAAGUGCCAAACAUUUCCUCACAAAGGCAUAUAGAUGAACCGCAACCCAAAUCCAAGGCAGGUCUUAAAAAAAAGACUCGAUUACCUAGCAAGCCAUCUCUACAAACAGUCCAACCGAGUGUACUUGCACCAGAGAACACAAGCGACAGGCAACAUUUAAAGGUGGCUGCCAGAACCAGCAAGCCAAGAAAAUCACAUAGACCAACAGAUCGCCCACAACCCAAACCCGUGCUAACUAGUAAAAAACACUCUGUAGGCAUUAAACAAAAGCUGAAGCUACCUCAAAAGUCAUCACAGAGAGCUCCAUCAAAAGCACCUGCACCAAACACUAGCAACGAGCAGCCUUCAGGGACAGCAACCAGCUCUGAUCAGCCAGCAAGUAACAUUACUGCACACAGGCCAAGAAACAAAAUGAAAAAAAUAUCUGAUUCAAGUAGUAAAACGCAUCCUGUAAACCUUCAAGAAAAAACAGGUUUACGUAACAAACCAGCAUCACAAAGAGCUCCAUCGAAAGCACCUGCACCAAGAAACGCAAGGAACAAGCAACCUUCAAAGACAGUGGGCAAGUCUGAUGACACACGGAGAAGCAUUCCUUCAGAUAAGCCCAGAAAGAGACCACAGCCAAAAUAUAAACAAAGUAAAAAGCUCCAUACAGACCGUCAAGAAAAGAGAGGGGGGCCUAAUAAACCAUCGUCACAGAAGGCUCCAUCAAAAGCACCCACGCCAAAGAAGACAAACAAGCAGCAGCCUUCAAAGACAGCAGCCAUAUCUGAUGACGCAUCAAGCAACAUUCCCUCACACAAGCCACGAAACAUGCCACACCAUACAUGUAAGCCAAGUAGUAAAAGGCGUCCUGUAGACCUUCAAGAAAAGACUGUGUUAAAGAACAAGCCGUCAUUACUAAAAUCACCGAGAGAGUCUUCACCACAAAACACAAGUGACGAGCAGCCGCCAAGCACUACGGCCAGCUACGAUGAGGCACCACAGAACAUUCCUUCACCAAAGGUUACAGACAGGUCAGGAAGUGACCACAAGGCUCCAAGCAUUAGCACCACAGUGGACAACUCUGCCAACAGGAAAAAUGGCAUCACGCCAAGAGGACGCCUGCCGACUGUAAAGAGAAGCCUGGGAGAACCAAAGGAAGACAUAAAAGUGGUAAACAUUUUUAGGAAGAAAGCUGCAGAAGAACCCAUCGGUGACAAAGACACGCAGCAAAUGGACUCUGCAAAAGAAAUGAACCAUCAAGCUGAGUCACCAAGAGACAGCAAAACAGACGUCACAAAGCCAUCCAUGAUAGCCCUAAAUGUUGCUGGGCACAACUCAAAGUCAGGGUCGCAGAAAAUGAAAGCUCUAGACUCACAGGACGUACCAAGUGGUCAGUGGCCACAAAUGGUUUCUGCAAGAAUUGAGGGUUUUGGACCAGCCGUAAUAAUCAAUGCCCAGAAGAUACAGCCACAGAUGCCACACAAGGCACCACAUAAAAAGAAAUCGCUGCUGGACACAAUCCACAAAAUCAUGGAGGCUUGUGCCAAAAUGGCACAUCUCCUUGAAGCAAGUGGCACCAACGAAGAUUUGAUACAUAUUGAAGCAGGAGGCUCAAGUCCAAAUUCCGUCCCUGCUAAACCAAGGCUAGGCGACACCGAUAUGAACACAGCCUUUGAAAACUAUGUUGUUAGAAACAAACACCACAAACUGUCAUCUGUAGAUGGAAAAGAGCAAAAUGAAAAAAAUUUGAGUCUUAAGAAAGCUCUCAUGCCUGAGGACCUAAUAGAUACCACAGGUGACAUCUCCCGGUCAACUGGAGUGAAAAACACACCACCUUUAUUGCAUAACCUACACAAGCUACCAUGCAGAGUUACAGACAAGGGUACUCAGACAGAAAAGAAUAUGUUAACACAAACCAAAGGUGUGUCAACCAACUGCACUAAUCUUUUACCACAACAGGCAGGUCAUGUCACCUACAAUAAAGAACAGAAAAGUCUGCAGAUAGACUUGCCAAAAAAUAAUGUAACUUCCCUUAUCCAACUGCUGGAAGAAAAAGCCCAACAAGGCAGUGAUGAAUUGGCCACCCCUAAACAGUGUUUCAAUGCAAAAGGUAGGGCACAGAACAGUGGUGUGAGGAAUGAAAAGAUCACCAAAACUGAUAACAAGCAACCAUCAGUUGUCCAGAAAGAUAAAUAUUUGCCAUUCCAGAAUCCUGCAGCAGCUACACCCGUAGAUUGCUCAAGGACACCACCUCCAAGAAAACUUCCAAAUGGUAGCCCACAUGUAAGCUCAGUGGUCACUUUCUUUGAAAAGAAUGCCGAGCAACACGAUCGAAAUGGACCUACUUCUCCUAAACUGCAUUCCAGAUCAAGAGGGGUGUCAGACCAAAAACCAGCAACAUACCAUGACGGUAACACAACACGGAAAGCAGAAGCAAUGAAUGCAGUACAACCAUAUGUGUAUACCAGAAAAGCUGCAAAUGCAGAGUCCUCUGAGUUCGCUACACAAUCAGUUGCAUCCAACAGCCAACAGUCAGUUCUGCAUCUAGAUGUGCCACGGAAUGUAAGCUCACUUGAACAGUUGCUUGAAGACAACACCCAGAAAUGGAACAAAGCUGUCUCUCACAAACUGGCUUCCAAACAUGCAUGCACUGCUUUACAAAAAAACAAAA